CUUCACAUGACUGUUUUCUGACAUUUUUGUGGGUGCUUUCGUUUAAUUAUAACAGCACCAACAAAAUUGGCCAAAGAAGAGGGCCAAAUUUAACACCUACGCUGCCUGUGUUUCUUUUUCGACCUGUACUUAUGCGGAUCAUUAAGUUCGCCGACGCUCCUUAUAUGUGACUUGGUUUCCCGAGUUUUGUCUGGGUUUUGGAUCUAUGCGAUCCCACACAGCUGGGGCGAAAGUAAUAGCAAUAGGAAAAUCAUAUUUGUAUAUAGAAAUAAAUACCAUUUAGCGCUUUAUUAAAUUCAGAAUAGUACUGAAUACUUAAUACCCACGUAGUAUUUAAAUCCAAAUAUUUUCAGUUUUAAACUCAACUCUACAGACCUUUGAAUGCGACCCCAUCUGUGUACUCAACUAGUAAAUGGGAAUGAAUUUGUUGGACUUAAAGGGGGAAAGAGAUCAUAAUUUACUUUACCACAGCAAAUGCUGUCUGGCAGUUAGAGGUUUUACUGUAGUCGGCCGAGCCCUGGCCAAUUUGUCAAUUUAAUUUCAUUUAAUGCUAUUCUAUUUCAAUAUCCCUGCUUUAUUUAGACGACUAUUUUGUGGCUUCUGUUUCUUUCUCUAUUAUCUAUAUCUAUUACGUGUGGAGUUCGGACUGCACAAUAAAAUACGAUUCCUAUUCUUCGAUUCAUUGAUUCAUUCAUAAAUCAAAGUAACAAUAGCAUUUGUAUAUUAUUCCUCCUUUAUUUAAUUGGUUCAUACCCUGCUAUUCGGGAUUACAGAGGUGUUUUGUAUCUAUCAUGUUGUCUUUCCAGAGAAUCUCUUCUGGUCUUUUAAUAAUCUUCACUUUCUUGUCUAGUUAGAUAUCAUUAAAUAAUACGAAUAUGAUUAGUUUCUAUCUAAUCAUAGAACACUGGCGAAAAUUGGAUUGCCAGGUAUCUAAUAGUCGGGAGAUUGAACCACUCGUUAACCCUUCUUCGAAUGACUUUGUGUGUAUUUCUGCUGUUGGCGGUGUAUCGCAAAUUGAAAUGCGGUGCACGUGACGUAGUCGCAGACAUGGCUAAAAUCAAAAUGCGUGGUCAAAUUGUACGUACGUUGGCCCCAACUUGCGAUUGUGUUGGUAAGUGUGUUUCCCAGUGCGCGGAGCCCACCUGAAAUGGCCACAACUUGAGCCACUUUUGGCCACCACUCGGCGGCUUUUUGGCCUUUCCGCUGCGCGUUUCAUUUCAUUUUUAUUGUAUGUUUUGGUGCCAAAUUAUUUGCCCCCACAAAAUGUGGAUGACAGCACCCACAGCAGCACCACCGCACUACCAAAUCACACCACCAAAUCGCACCACCACCAUAACAGAGGUUUCCCAAAAAGAGAAUGUGGGCGUUGGUGUAAAGCUAAACUUCUGGCUCUGCGUUUGACAUCUGGAUGGAAUAAGCUGCCACAACAAAUACUAGUUUUAUUAACAAUGUAUUUCCAAUGUAAAUAUAUUUAAACAUUCUCUUGUUUAUUGUGCGUAAUUAUAGCCUUUAGACACUUUAAAUAAAAGUGUGUAGAAUGCGAUCAUAAAAAAAAGAGUUUUAGGAAAUAGAUAAAUCGAUGGUAUUCGUUAUAGUAAAAUUACCGACCCCUAAUAGCCAAAAUUUAGCAAACCCCUUUGGGUGCUUCCACCUGCCAGGGUUUUCCCCGCAAUCAACCUGUGCCACCUCAACUAAUUCUAAGCUGUGAUUUACAUAAUCCCAUCGACAGCCGACAACCGCCGUCCGACCCCCAUUGAUUCUAAUAUUUGUAUACUUUUAACACGUUUGGCAAAUGCAAAUUUCUCUGCUGAGAACUCUAGCAGCCAAGAAACGGAACUUUCGUAGGCGGAAAACCAAUUUGUAUCGCCUAGAAUGCCUGAAAUUCCCAAUAGAUUGCAUAAGACUGAUCAGCUGCCAGCAAUUGUUUAAAAUAAAAGCACAAUUAUCGAAAUAAUACAGUAUUAGCUUUGAAAUGUUAAUAGAAUGCGACGCGUUUAACAUUAUAUUGGUAUUAGUAAUAGUAAUACAACUAAAUAUCUAAUAACUCAAAGGCGAAUGUAAAUACUUCAAAAAAAUUGGAUUCUACGAGACUUCUAUGAAUGAACGGAUAGUAACUAGUAAAUUGCAGCAGCUAACUUGAAAACUGGAAAGGGGCGUAGUUAGUUGUCGUUGGAAUUUUGCUAACAAGUGGCCAGUCGACUCACCUCGCAAACAGUUAACAGCUAAAAAGUUAAGCGGGUACCGGCUAAACUGGCAUUUGACACAAUUCGCCAUGAAAAUAGUUCAGUGAUUCCAUGCCUCAUUUAAUGACAAAAACUAACUAACUAAUAAAUUACACUUUGUAUAAAAAGAUAUCAUAGCUUAAUUGCUUGUGGAGGCGAUUUUCAAUAAUUACACUAUUUAAAGCAAAACAACGGGCCCUUAAUUGUGCAGAAGCUUACAAUCCUACUGCGGGCGGUAAAAGUUCCCGAUCUUCCAUCGAACCAAAUUAAAUUUGGCAAAUUAGUGGAUUCGACUAUCUGUGAUCUAUUGGCGAUCUGGUUGGACCACUCUCUAGUUCCCGAUUCCGAUUCCCAUCCAAAGUCGAAGGUGAAAAGCUUUGAAAUACUGGAAACUGCUGCGCCAUUGAUUGCGUUGCGUAUCAGCUCUUUGCGACUUAUCGCCAACUUAUAGUCGACCAGGCCAACUCAAGGCUAUUGGCUAUAGUUUUUAGCGUUUUUUCUUUUAUUUUGCAUUAUUAUUACUUUUGUUUCGCUCGAAAGUGCGUCGCAUUUUGCUUACCAGCACACAGGUAGAACACAAAAACAGAACACAAAAAUAACGUGAAAUCCCUCGGAACCACAGUAUUCAUAGUGGAAAAU